rnacentral:tRNA from 1 species
GGCGGUGUAGCUCAGGCGGCAGAGCAAGGGUCUCAUAAGCCCUCUGUCCGUGGUUCGAGUCCACGCACCGCCACCA